UACAGAGGGGGCAAGCGUUAUUCGGAAUUAUUGGGCGUAAAGGGCGCGUAGGCGGCUUUGCAAGUGACGGGUGAAAGCCCUCGGCUUAACCGAGGAACUGCCUGUCAGACUGUAAGGCUUGAGACCGGGAGAGGUGAGUGGAAUUCCCAGUGUAGCGGUGAAAUGCGUAGAUAUUGGGAGGAACACCAGUGGCGAAGGCGGCUCACUGGACCGGAACUGACGCUGAGGUGCGAAAGCGUGGGGAGCAAACAGG
rnacentral:rRNA from 1 species